rnacentral:tRNA from 1 species
AAUGGAUUAUUUAGGUCUUCUAAACCCAAAAAAGAUAUAUUUAUCUGUUCAUUU